GGAAGAGGAUUAAAGGGAUUUUCAAUCUGAGGAGGAGGUAAGACAAGGUGAUGUCUGGCCACCUGGAAGAGGAUUAAAGGGAUUUUCAAUCUGAGGAGGAGGUAAGACAAGGUGAUGUCUGGCCACCUGGAAGAGGAUUAAAGGGAUUUUCAAUCUGAGGAGGAGGUAAGACAAGGUGAUGUCUGGCCACCUGGAAGAGGAUUAAAGGGAUUUUCAAUCUGAGGAGGAGGUAAGACAAGGGGAUGUCUGGCCACCUGGAAGAGGAUUAAAGGGAUUUUCAAUCUGAGGAGGAGGUAAGACAAGGUGAUGUCUGGCCACCUGGAAGAGGAUUAAAGGGAUUUUCAAUCUGAGGAGGAGGUAAGACAAGGUGAUGUCUGGCCACCUGGAAGAGGAUUAAAGGGAUUUUCAAUCUGAGGAGGAGGUAAAACAAGGUGAUGUCUGGCCACCUGGAAGAGGAUUAAAGGGAUUUUCAAUCUGAGGAGGAGGUAAAACAAGGUGAUGUCUGGCCACCUGGAAGAGGAUUAAAGGGAUUUUCAAUCUGAGGAGGAGGUAAGACAAGGUGAUGUCUGGCCACCUGGAAGAGGAUUAAAGGGAUUUUCAAUCUGAGGAGGAGGUAAAACAAGGUGAUGUCUGGCCACCUGGAAGAGGAUUAAAGGGAUUUUCAAUCUGAGGAGGAGGUAAAACAAGGUGAUGUCUGGCCACCUGGAAGAGGAUUAAAGGGAUUUUCAAUCUGAGGAGGAGGUAAAACAAGGGGAUGUCUGGCCACCUGGAAGAGGAUUAAAGGGAUUUUCAAUCUGAGGAGGAGGUAAAACAAGGGGAUGUCUGG